UACGAGGGGUGCAAGCGUUGCUCGGAAUUAUUGGGCGUAAAGGGUUGGUAGGUGGUCUUGUUUGUCUAGGGUGAAAUCCCAUGGCUUAACUGUGGAAGUGCCCUAGAAAACGGCAAGACUAGAGUCCUAGAGGGGUUUGUGGAAUUCCCGGUGUAGCGGUGAAAUGCGUAGAGAUCGGGAGGAACACCAGCGGCGAAGGCGGCAAACUGGAUAGGCACUGACGCUGAGGCGCGAAAGCGUGGGGGAGCAAACGGG
rnacentral:rRNA from 1 species